CGCUGGUCGAGAGAUUAUGUCACUCUCCUGAUGAGUCCAAGGCAGGGCAGGACGAAAUCAGUG
rnacentral:sRNA from 1 species